AGGGGGCGGGGGCCGCCGGGCAGGGGCGCGGCUUUGUGGCGGGCGCGGAGGCCGGGUGCAGCCCCGUGGGCUCCGCACGCCGCUCUCGCUCGCAGGAAAGCUUGCCUGUCCGAGCGGAGCUGGGGAGGGGGCUGGGUUUGCUUUUUGUUUCUGAAAGUCCCCCUUAGCCCUAGUUAGCCCCCGCGUGCCGCCGGGAGGAUCGCGUGGAAAGGCUGCAGGGCCCCAGAGCGCACCCCACCCCGCGCACGCCCGCUGGGGCACCAGAAGGCGCAGCCCCGGGGGGCUCCCUGCACCCAGGACGAGGCUUGGCUGACACCUCCGAUGCCAAGUUUCUAGGGGAAACGAAAUUCUACUGCAAAGCGGUAAAGCAGCAGAGAGCCCUGUGAGGAUGGAAGCGCCGUAGAGAGUGGGAUCACGCCCACCGGCACUGCGCUGCCCAGGACCAGCUCUCUGUUUUCGCUGCAGGUAAAGCCAGGAAUCGCUGACACAGUGGGAUAUCUUGAAGCCAAGGAUGGGAAGGUUUGGCUUUGCUCAGUGGAGUCCCUCUCGGCUUGAUACCCUGCUGCCUGUCAAGAGAUGCGUCCAGAGAGGGGCUGAGGAAAGAAGGCUCCAGUCACCAUUAUGCCUUCCAGGAACAUGUUCACGAAACAAACAGCUUCAAAGUGUUGCAAGCAGAGUAUUAAAGCAACAUGUUAUGUGGAGUGACUGCUUAGUUCAGCUGCCAUUAAUUCACCUGUAAUGGAGUGAAGUCCUCGUAGCCACUCACACUUUCACUGCCUUUGCACCCCUGUAAUGAAACAUGUUUUCCAUGAGUUUAUCUGGAUUGGCCUUGAAUUAUAACCUCAGUGUCAAGCUGAUGCUGAUAAUAGACAUAAGCAUUUUAUGGGAGCCUUGUCCACCCCUCUUUUAUAUCUCCUCCGUGAUCUUACCCACCCAUUUCCUACUAAAAUGACUACUCCUUAGUCCUUGCUUUGUAGCUGUGAAGGCAAGCAUAAUACAUGAGGGACUUUCUAGAAGGGGGCUGUCCAAAAUGGUAGCUGCUAGCUACUUGUGGUGAUUUAUAUUUCAAUUGGCUACAAUUAAACACAUUUUAACUAAGUGUAGUCCUGCUGACUGUAUCCAAACAUUCAGGAAGCUGAUGCAAGAGGACUGAGAAUUUAGACAGCCUAGGCUAUAUAAUAAGUUCUAGGCUAACCUGGGCUACAGAGCGAUACACUGUCUUUAAUUUUUUUUUAUAAUGGUCCCCUAGGGUCUCCUAGCAUCAAUCCAAAUCCUCAGUAACCCCCAAGUGGGCAGGUGGCUGUCUUCCAAAGUAGGCCUCACAAAUCUUGAUCUCUGUGAUGGGCAGAGAAAGUUCUGGAGAUUAGGACAGCCCCAGAGAUUUCAUAGCUGUUAAUGAGCAGUGCUGAAACCAGCAAAUGGGUCAGAUGGUGGAGCUGCCCCUUUCUUCUCUACUGAGGCCAGCGCACAGGGUCUCACAGCUGGCCUCGAACUCACUCCAUAGCCAAGAGUGACUUUAAACUUCUCUCUGUCGCACUCACUCUCUCUCUCUCUCCCUGUCUGUGUUUGUGUGUACACGUUACUGUUUGUCUCGUUUCAUAUGUGUGUGCGUGUAUCUACACUAGAGUGCACGUGCAGAAGCCCAAGGUUGGUGUCUGCUGUCCACCUUAUAUACGGAGAGGGGUCUGGCUAGCCGGCUUGCCCUGGGGAUCCUCUGGCUGCCUCCCAAAUGCCUCCCAAUGCCUGGCUUUUCCAGAGGUUCCAGAUCAAGCUUAAACUUUGUGCUCUGCAGCAAACACUUGUACACCAAGCCAUCUCAGCAGGCCCAUCCUUGAACUUUUGAGCUUCCAUCCCCUACGAGGGAUCCUAGCUAGGCACUCCCAUUCUUGUGCUGUGUAGCAGUAGGGAUCAGAUCCAGGCUUUAUGCAUGCUAGGCCCUCCACUAACUGAACCACACCCCCAGCUCUAUACGGACAGCAUUUAUGGAAGUGUCCCCUUAGCACUGUUCUGUGAUCUCUCCUGAAUGAGUGGGUUGACACAGUGACGAACAGCUGCUAGGAUUCUGGGCAAGGAGAGCCAGAUGUCACCUUUGAAUGGAAUGUAAGACCACCCUGGGAAAUAGUUGUAGUAAAGUAAAUAAGACAUAAAUCUAAAGGCACCUCCAAAGCUGAGUGCCGGUGUAUAAGAAAUGCAGGAGGAAGGGGAACACGUCCACACCUUUAUGGGGUCAAAAAAAAAAAAAAAAAAAGAAAAAUCAGGAUGAUGUUAGUUAACCAUAAGAUGGCCCAAGUUCCUUGGAGUGGAUUUGUGUGUUGACUAUGGGAGAAGUGAGCAGCAUGACCUGUUAUAACAUGUAAGCCUUCGUUACAUCCUAAUGGUAUCCACCUGUGAAGAAAGCACCAGCGAGGCUCCAGGAACAUUGAAGGGGACCAUGCAUACACCAACAUUAAAGCAUUUUAAAGGGUGAUGGUGGCAAAGCAUUUCUUUUUCUGCUGGAGUCUUAGUGUUUGUAAUUUGCUUCAAGAUAGUCUGGAUGGCGAGUGUGCAUGGAACAAAACUAGCAAAUUCAUCCUAUACGCUUGCUUGAAGCUUUUACAGUAGUGAGACAGAUGGCUCAGUUGGUAAAGUACUUUCUUGUUGCACAAGCAUUAGGAUGUGAGUCUGUAUCCUCAGUACUUGGAAAAAGCCAGGUGCUGGACAUGUGCCUGCGACAUUAGUGCAUAGGCCGAGGGGGCAAGGGGUCUCUAGGACUUGCUGCCCAUCCACUCUAGCUGAACCUGCAAGCUCAGGUUCACUGGAAGGCCCACCUCAAAACUAAGACGGUGAUUAAGGAAGACACCCACAUGUACCUCUGAUCUCCACAAGCAUUCACAACUGCACACACCACACAUGCAAAGGGUACUCUUUCUUGACCUCUCAAGGGCAUCCUAUUGGUUUCUGUACCAGUCAGGGUUCCUUAGAAGAGCAGAGUUUAAAGAUGAGCAUAUAUAUUCCAUAUAUAUGAAAUUUAUUAGAAGGGCUUACAGGCUGUGGUCCAGCUAGUCCAGCAAUGACUAUCUACCAAGAAGGUCUACUAGUUGAGGCUGGAUGUCUCAUCUCGUCUUCAGUAAAUCUGGAAUCCUGAAGAAGUAGGCUCUCAUGCCAGCUAAGGAUUGGACUUGCCUAUAAAAGCAAACAGGCAAAGAGCAAGAACUUCCUUCUUCCAUGUCCAUAUAUAGGCUUCCAGCAGAAGGCGUGGCCCAGAUUAGAGGUGAGUCUUCUCCCCUCAAAGAUCCAAAUUGGAAGUAGGUCUUCCCACCUACUCAAAUGAUUUAAUUAAGAAAAAAAAAAAUCCCUCACAGGUGUUCCCAACUUUCUGAUUUUUAGUUAAUUCCAGAUGUGGUCAAGUUGACAACCAAGAAAAGUGAUCACAUUUUCCCACUCCAUUACUACAUCUCCAGGACAAGCCUGGAGAGCUGGUUUAGGCUACUUCUUUAAGUUUCCUGCCCCAUCUCCAUGGCAACUAGUAAGCCUACUUCCUACAGUAGGGUCAUGCCAGGCUGCCAACAUCAUGUCAGGACAAACUAUUGUUCCCUUUGGAGCCUCCUCUAGAUGGAUAUUUUCAGCACCACCCCUGCUUGCCAUACCCUUUUCUCUCUGGACCUUCCUGGAUAGUAACCAAGGAAGGAGUGACCAUUUGGGGGAGGGAGCAGCCCCUGUAUCAUGUGUGUUCCAAUUCUGACCCCACCAUGUAAUGGCAGGACCUUUCCACCUCUCUGAGCAUCUUCUGUCCAGUGAAGCACCAGGUCACUGCUGGGGGACGGCUCAGUGUGUAAAGCGCUUACUCCACAAGAAUGAAGGCCCGAGUUUAAAUCACAGAAAGCUGAGUACAGGAGCACACAACAUGCAAUCCUUGAGCUCCUCUAGGGAAAAUAGCAGGCAGAAUGCUGCCUAGCCUGGUGUACCCAGAAGAAAACAAAAGAGCCCCUGUCUCAACCAAGGUAAAAGGCAAGGGGUGACACCCAAGAUUGUCCUCUUAUCAAAACUUAUACAACAUAGCAUUUGCGCACACGCACACGCUCGCUCGCACACACACAAAACCUCAGCUAGCUCAGCAUAUCUGUGUCAGGAGAACAAUGUCCAUAAGGACCUCAUGUCCACUUGGCAGAGCAGAUUCAGGAGUUAAGGUGAUCUUGAUGGAUUUCAAAACCCCCAUAAAAAAUAUGAGGCCAGGUUGUCCUCUCACACCCAUUUAAACAAACUUGGCUCCUUUGGAGCAAGCAGAACUACUGAUCUAGCUUUUCAUUAAUGCUGCUCUCACUGCCAUGCCAGAACACAGAACACCUUUACUUGCUGUCCUCAUCUGUGAAGUAAAACACAGGCUUGGGGAGACACACCUGCUCAGGCUCACCCUCGUAGGCUGUGGUUCCUCCCUUCUCUUCCUGGUCGCCUGUGUAUGGAUCAGGCACCACACAGAGGCCAUCGCAAUAUGGCCGGUGCUCAUUUCCCAUCACAGUCACUGACACAGUGACCAUCACAAAGCGUCCACAUGAUGGCCAUCAUGCAGGGACCCUAACUCAUUGACUAUCACAGAUUUGGUGAUGGUGCUACCAAGCAGCCAAAGGUCUUCCUUCAUUUUUAAGAUCUGACUUCAUUUUUAAAAUGAAAACAGUAGCUCCUACAGUCCAAGCUGCACAGCAGCACAGCAGCUGAGCAGCAGCAGCCAGUCCAGUUUCUCUGGGGAGAAGUUGUUCCUCGUAACAAGGAAAGCCGACUUCUUUUUUUUCUUUAAGGACAAUGUCCCCUAGGUUAGUCUCAGACUUGCUUUGUAACUGAGGAUAGUCUUGAAUUUCCGGUCCUCCACUUCAGAGCGUUGGGCUAGCGUCUCAUAUGUGUGCCUCGACCCCUAGAUGAUGUGGUGCUGCAGAUGGAACCCAGGCAUCACUCAUGUUAGGCAAGUGUCUGCUGACUGCUACAUCCCCAGACCUGAAAUGGAUGCUUUCUGGUUUCUGUUGAUUGUUUUAGGUGUGUUUUUUGUUGUCGCUUUUUGUUUUUGUUGUGUGUGUUGCCAGGAAUUUAUUUAGCCCAAUCUGGCCUUGACAUUACUUUGUAGCCAAGGCUGGCCUUGAACUAACUCCAUAUCCUGCCUCUGCCUUCCAAGUGCUGGGAUUAUAAGCAUGAGCAACAUCUGUCUAAAGGCUAGUUCCAGUUGUAUCCUGUCCUGGAGCAAGAGGAUGUACUUGUCUGCUCAUCUUGGACUACAAGGUGCUUUAGUCCUGGGAAAUUCAGAUGCUAAACCAGAAAGGGCUGGUUUAGCUAUCAGCCGCUCUGCUUACAUCCAAUCCCAUAGGCAUGUGGGGCAUGGCCAAAGGGGCAUUUUCUAAGAGGCACACUAUGUGGUUGAAGCCAAUUGAGAUAAGUUUACAAAACCCCUUCAAGUUUGGGGGCUUCAUGUGUGUGGCACCCCUGGACCCCCGUGUGUCACCUCCAUGGCCCCUCAGGUUGCUCCGAGGCCUAGUAUCCUUCCUCAUAGCCAUUCCAUCUGCUAUUUAGCUGUUGCCCAAUAGGUAAAGUGCUCCCUCUAGUCUAACAAUAAUAGCACCCUGACUCAUUGAACAAGCAACAGUAAGUUCUCAUUUUCUUGUUACUUUAGGACAAAUUGGAGACUUUGCAGGUUCAAGGCGUAUAGGACCAGGGUCCCAUGAGACGCCAAACAGGGCUAGGAUCACCUUGUAUCACCUUGUAGCCAUAUCCUUCCUGCCUCAUAUCCUUGAUUCCUAGCAGCCUAACCAUUCCUUCUCGUAUCAGCACAGUUCUGGUUAAAGAUUUAUUGGACCCAUCACCUAGCUAUCAACAUCUUGGGGCUAAGGGGAUGGCCCAGCUGGUAAAGUGCUUGCUUCUCAAACAUGAGGAUCUAGGUCCAGCCCCUAGUAACACAUAAAAAGCUGGGCAUGAUGGCACACUUACCAUCACAGCUCUAGGGGCCCGGGGACAGAUGAGUGGAGCUCCCUGGGCAGCCAGCAUAAGCUAACUAGCAGGCCUCAAGUCCCAAGUGAGAGACCCUGCCUCAGAAGUAAGGUAGAUAGCUUCUGGCACCUGAUCUCUGAGCUGUGCAUGCACACAUGCAUAAACUGAAUAUCCAUUCUUCCCCUAUCAUGGUUACCCUAUCAGUCCAAGAGGCCAACAUGAGUCUCUGUUGCCAAUUCUACUUUACCGCUCCUGGCUGGUGAUGUGUGGAUGACAAUCUGUAGUCAUCAAACACUUCACCAAAUGCCCCACCAAUACUGCCAUCGCUGCUUCAUCUCAAGGAAAUCCUCCACACCCACCAGGGUCGCCUGUCCUCAUUUCUGCCCAACAGAUCAUGCUGAUGUCACAAGCUGUAAGAUGAUCCCAGAGAAAAGACGUAGUCUGACACUUGGGAGAAAAUGUAACACCUAGGGUCCAGUUUUCUUCACUGACUGUACCUGUUUUAGCUUUGUUCAUAUCCCUGUCCCAGCAUUCACUUGAUGUUGUGGGGGACCACGAGCCUUGGAGCUGAAGUCAAGCUGGUUCUCUGGUUUUCGAAGUAAUUAAUGCUGAAAAUGUUUGUUCUUUGCCUCGACAGCCAAGGUAAUAAUAAAACUCACAGCCUCAUGACUUGCCUGCUA